CAGAUCUGCAAGAUCAAGAUUUUGCUGAUUUCUCAUCUAUGUGAAGCGAAACACUUACCAUUAUGUUUAGCACUAAAAGAUGGGAACUGAGGCUCAGAGAUAGUGACUCAAAGAAGGCCACCCAAAUAAAAAAAAAGUCC